AUCUAGCUGACGUGUCCGAAAUAAGACGAAACGUGCAUCAUGGAU
rfam:Schistosoma mansoni, Puerto Rico, WGS project CABG01000000 data, contig: 0179